rnacentral:rRNA from 1 species
UCUUCCCUCUAGCUCCAGGCUUAACACAUGCAAGUCGAGGGGAAACGACAUCGAAAGCUUGCUUUUGAUGGGCGUCGACCGGCGCACGGGUGAGUAACGCGUAUCCAACCUGCCCAUCACUUGGGAAUAACCUUGCGAAAGUAAGACUAAUACCCAAUGAUAUCCCACGAAGGCAUCGGAAUGGGAUUAAAGAUUUAUCGGUGAUGGAUGGGGAUGCGUCUGAUUAGCUUGUUGGCGGGGUAACGGCCCACCAAGGCAACGAUCAGUAGGGGUUCUGAGAGGAAGGUCCCCCACAUUGGAACUGAGACACGGUCCAAACUCCUACGGGAGGCAGCAGUGAGGAAUAUUGGUCAAUGGGCGAGAGCCUGAACCAGCCAAGUAGCGUGCAGGAAGACGGCCCUAUGGGUUGUAAACUGCUUUUAUAAGGGAAUAAAGUGGGUCACGUGUGACUUUUUGCAUGUACCUUAUGAAUAAGGACCGGCUAAGUCCGUG